rnacentral:rRNA from 1 species
AACGAACGCUGGCGGCGUGCCUAAUACAUGCAAGUCGAACGCAGUGGGGACGGGUGAGUAACACGUGGGUAACCUCCCAUCAGAGGGGAUAACACUUGGAAACAGGUGCUAAACCGAUAAUGGUGGAUGGACCCGCGGUGGAUUAGCUAGUUGGUGAGGUAACGGCUCACCAAGGCCACGAUGCCUAGCUGGCCUGAGAGGGUGAGCGGCCACACUGGGACUGAGACACGGCCCAGACUCCUACGGGAGGCAGCAGUGGGGAAUAUUGCACAAUGGGCGCAAGCCUGAUGCAGCCAUGCCGCGUGUAUGAAGAAGGCCUUCGGGUUGUAAAGUACUUUCAGUCGGGAGGCGUUACCGACAGAAGAAGCACCGGCUAACUCCGUGCCAGCAGCCGCGGUAAUUC